rnacentral:rRNA from 1 species
UACGGAGGAUGCAAGCGUUAUCCGGAAUGAUUGGGCGUAAAGCGUCCGCAGGUGGCUGUGUAAGUCUGCUGUCAAAGAGCAAAGCUCAACUUUGUAAAGGCAGUGGAAACUACACGGCUAGAGUGCGUUCGGGGCAGAGGGAAUUCCUGGUGUAGCGGUGAAAUGCGCAGAUAUCAGGAAGAACACCCGUGGCGAAGGCGGCUCUCUGGUACGGAACUGACGCUGAGACGCGAAAGCGUGGGGAGCGAACAGG